AGCUCAAAUUUGAAAUCUGGCCUCGGCCCGAGUUGUAAUUUGCAGAGGAUGCUUUUGGUGCGGUGCCUUCCGAGUUCCCUGGAACGGGACGCCACAGAGGGUGAGAGCCCCGUAUGGUCGGACACCAAUCCUGUGUAAAGCUCCUUCGACGAGUCGAGUAGUUUGGGAAUGCUGCUCUAAAUGGGAGGUAAAUCUCUUCUAAAGCUAAAUACCGGCCAGAGACCGAUAGCGCACAAGUAGAGUGAUCGAAAGAUGAAAAGCACCUUGAAAAGGGGGUUAAACAGUACGUGAAAUUGUUGAAAGGGAAGCACUUGUGACCAGACUUGGGCCGGGCGGCUCAUCAGGGGUUCUCCCCUGUGCAUUCCGCCCGGUACAGGCCAGCAUCGGUUCUUACCGGGGGAUAAGAACGGCAGGAACGUGGCUCCCUCUCGGGGGAGUGUUAUAGCCUGCCGUACGAUACCCUGGCGGGGACCGAGGUUCGCGCUUCCGCAAGGAUGCUGGCGUAAUGGUUACUAGUGACCCGUCUUGAAACACGGACCAAGGAGUCGUCCAUUAGAGCGAGCGUUUGGGUGUAAAACCCGCACGCGUAAUGAAAGUGAAAUUAGGUGAGAGCUUCGGCGCAUCAUCGACCGAUCCUGAUGUUCUCGGAUGGAUUUGAGUAAGAGUUUUAACGGACGGACCCGAAAGACAGUGAACUAUGCUUGUAUAGGGUGAAGCCAGAGGAAACUCUGGUGGAGGCUCGCAGCGGUUCUGACGUGCAA
rnacentral:rRNA from 1 species